rnacentral:rRNA from 1 species
ACGGAAGGCAGCAGUCGGGAAUAUUGCACAAUGGAGGAAACUCUGAUGCAGUGACGCCGCGUACAGGAAGAAGGUCUUUGGAUUGUAAACUGUUGUCGACAGGGAAGAAAAAUGACAGUACCUGUGGAGGAAGCUCCGGCAAACUACGUGCCAGCAGCCGCGGUAAUACGUAGGGAGCAAGCGUUAUCCGGAUUUAUUGGGUGUAAAGGGCGCGUAGACGGUUAAGCAAGUUAGUUGUGAAAUCCCUGAGCUCAACUUAGGAACUGCAACUAAAACUGUUUUACUUGAGUAUGGGAGAGGAAAGCGGAAUUCCUAGUGUAGCGGUGAAAUGCGUAGAUAUUAGGAGGAACACCAGUGGCGAAGGCGGCUUUCUGGACCAAAACUGACGUUGAGGCGCGAAAGUGUGGGGAGCAAACAGGAUUAGAUACCCUGGUA